rnacentral:rRNA from 1 species
CCUACGGGAGGCUGCAGUGAGGAAUAUUGGUCAAUGGCCGGAAGGCUGAACCAGCCAUGCCGCGUGAAGGUCAGUGCCUUAUGGGCGUUACACUUCUUUUGUGCGGGAGCAAUAAUGGUCACGUGUGGCCAGAAGCGAGUACCGUACGACUAAGCAUCGGCUAACUCCGUGCCAGCAGCCGCGGUAUUACGGAGGAUGCAAGCGUUGUCCGGAUUUACUGGGUGUAAGUGGCGUGUAGCCGGGCUGACAAGUCAGAUGUGAAAUCCGGGGGCUCAACCCCCGAACUGCAUUUGAAACUGUUGAUCGUGAGUAUCGGAGAGGCAGGCGGGAUUCCUAGUGUAGCGGUGAAAUGCGUAGAUAUUAGGAGGAACACCAGUGGCGAAGGCGGCCUGCUGGACGACAACUGACGGUGAGGCGCGAAAGCGUGGGGAGCAAACAGGAUUAGAUACCCCGGUAGUC